rnacentral:rRNA from 1 species
GAUGAACGCUGGCGGCGUGCCUAAUACAUGCAAGUCGAGCGAACAGACGAGGAGCUUACUCCUCUGACGUUAGCGGCGGACGGGUGAGUAACACGUGGAUAACCUACCUAUAAGACUGGGGUAACUUCGGGAAACCGGAGCUAAUACCGGAUAAUAUGUUGAACCGCAUGGUUCAAUAGUGAAAGACGGUCUUGCUGUCACUUAUAGAUGGAUCCGCGUCGCAUUAGCUAGUUGGUAAGGUAACGGCUUACCAAGGCAACGAUGCGUAGCCGACCUGAGAGGGUGAUCGGCCACACUGGAACUGAGACACGGUCCAGACUCCUACGGGAGGCAGCAGUAGGGAAUCUUCCGCAAUGGGCGAAAGCCUGACGGAGCAACGCCGCGCGAGUGAAGAAGGUCUUCGGAUCGUAAAACUCUGUUAUUAGGGAAGAACAAAUGUGUAAGUAACUAUGCACGUCUUGACGGUACCUAAUCAGAAAGCCACGGCUAACUACGUG